AUUGAACGCUGGCGGCAUGCCUUACACAUGCAAGUCGAACGGCAGCACGGGGCAACCUGGUGGCGAGUGGCGAACGGGUGAGUAAUGCAUCGGAACGUACCUUUCAGUGGGGGAUAACGUAGCGAAAGUUACGCUAAUACCGCAUAUUCUGUGAGCAGGAAAGCAGGGGAUCGCAAGACCUUGCGCUGAUUGAGCGGCCGAUGUCAGAUUAGCUAGUUGGUGAGGUAAAGGCUCACCAAGGCGACGAUCUGUAGCGGGUCUGAGAGGAUGAUCCGCCACACUGGAACUGAGACACGGUACAGACUCCUACGGGAGGCAGCAGUGGGGAAGUUUGGACAAUGGGGGCAACCCUGAUCCAGCCAUGCCGCGUGAGUGAAGAAGGCCUUCGGGUUGUAAAGCUCUUUCGGCCGGGAAGAAAUCGCACGGGCUAAUACCCUGUGUGGAUGACGGUACCGGAAUAAGAAGCACCGGCUAACUACGUGCCAGCAGCCGCCGUAACAC
rnacentral:rRNA from 1 species